AUGGCGUCGGGGCUCACCAAGUUUGAUGUGGAGAAAUUCGAUGGCACGUGUAACUUCGGUCUAUGGCAGACAAGAGUCAAGGAUAUUCUGGCGCAGCAGGGAAUCAUGAAGGGUUUGCAGGAGACAAAGCCGGCCAAGGUUGACAAUGAUGCAUGGGAGGAUAUGCAAGUGCAGGCGGCCGCUACCAUACGACUUUGUCUUGCGGAUGAGGUCAUGUAUCAUGUCAUGCAUGAAGAUUCUCCUAAGGGAAUUUGGGACAAGUUGGAAAAUCGUAUAUGUCCAAGUCAGCGACCAAUAAGCUAUAUUUGA
rnacentral:rRNA from 1 species